AUUUUGAUUUACGGGUCAGUAUUUUCUUAGAUAGUGACAAGACGAGUUGUUUUAGUUCUCGUGUUCAAAUUUAUAUUUACAGUGAACGUCGGGCAGGGCAUUUAUAUCUACGUGGAGGAAUGCUUUGUGUUCAACAAGCAAAAUUUCAACCCUGCUCGCUGCCCAGAUACUCUAUUGUUGAUAUUACCGCUAUAUAAAGGUUAUAACAGCGCUUUGGAACAGAAACAACGUAAAGAAUAGAAAAAAUAUAGGCCAUAUGAAAACAACAUAUAGUCCGGGAUGUAUGUAAUGUUCCGAUUAUGG